UGCAUGUCUAAGUAUAAGCAAUUAUACAGCGAAACUGCGAAUGGCUCAUUAUAUAAGUUAUCGUUUAUUUGAUAGUACCUUACUACUUGGAUAACCGAGGYAAUUCUAGAGCCAAUACAUGCUACAAAUCCCGACUUCGGAAGGGAUGUMUGUAUUAGAUUAAAAACCAAUGCCCUCCGGGGCUCACUGGUGAUUCAUGAUAACUUCUCGAAUCGCACGGCCUUGCGCCGGCGAUGGUUCAUUCAAAUUUCUUCCCUAUCAACUUUCGAUGUUUGGGUAUUGGCCAAACAUGGUUGCAACGGGUAACGGAGGGUUAGGGCUCGACCCCGGAGAAGGAGCCUGAGAAACGGCUACUACAUCCAA
rnacentral:rRNA from 1 species